GAUGAACGCUAGCUACAGGCUUAACACAUGCAAGUCGCGGGGCAGCAUGGGGGUUGCUUGCACUCCCCGAUGGCGACCGGCGCACGGGUGAGUAACGCGUAUCCAACCUGCCCUUCACCACGGGAUAACCCGGCGAAAGUCGGACUAAUACCGUAUGUUGUCCAUUGACGGCAUCCGAUUUGGACGAAAGGUUUGGCGGGGAAGGAUGGGGAUGCGUCCGAUUAGCUGGACGGCGGGGUGACGGCCCACCGUGGCGACGAUCGGUAGGGGUUCUGAGAGGAAGGUCCCCCACACUGGAACUGAGACACGGUCCAGACUCCUACGGGAGGCAGCAGUGAGGAAUAUUGGUCAAUGGGCGUAAGCCUGAACCAGCCAAGUAGCGUGCAGGAUGACGGCCCUAUGGGUUGUAAACUGCUUUUAUGCGGGGAUAAAGUGGCCCACGUGUGGGUUUUUGCAGGUACCGCAUGAAUAAGGACCGGCUAAUUCCGUG
rnacentral:rRNA from 1 species